GGGAGGGCGGUGGGGAAGCAAUUUGGAGCCCCUCACCCUUUGUUACUGGACGGACUUGGAUUCAGACUUGGGCUUGGAAUGCUCUCUGGUUGCCGUGGAGAUCCGCGGGGAGGGGUCGGGGGCCAAGCUGCACAAUUUAAUAUAUUCACGAGUGAGGGGAGGGAGCAGUGGAUCUUCAGGGUUCUUUUUCGGAGGGCGGGGGGGGUUCUCUUCCUUUCUGCCUCCUAGUGAUGUGCCUUUGGGAGGGGGAGGAGGUUGGCCACGCUGCUGAGGUGGGUGCGCGGUCCUCACAGCCCCUAGUGGGGCCCUGAGCCCGGUGGGGGUGGGGGGGCGCCUUGCCAGGAGCAGCCUUGAGGGAGGGGCUGGGUCCAGGCUGGGGGGACCACAGGAGAAGCUGGAGCCCCACAGGCUCCCCCAAAGGCCUCCCAUGCCCAGGGCAGCUGCUCCCAGGUGGCACCGAAGUGGCCCUCCCUCGAUGGCGUGCUUGGGAGUCAGGUCUGGGCAGGACCCUGCUGACUCAUGGCCCUGGAGCUGGGAGCCAGGCUCUCUGGGCCUCUCUGGCUUCCUUGGCUUUCCAGGGGGUGGAGGGAGGCAAGGAAGGAGCCUUCCUGGGCCAGGGAGAGGGGAGGGCUCCCAGAUCAUCACCAGAGUGUCCCUCCCUCUCCCUCUCCCUCUCCCCCCCCCCCCCCCCCCCCAGUUCUGGGUCCCUCGGAGAGCUGGUGGAGCCAGCCUUUCCCCUCCUGGGGAGCGCUUUCUAAAUAUCUGACGGUGGGGAGGCUCCAAAGAGGGACCUGGGUGGGGUGGACUCUGGCUGAGCCUCAAGAAACUAGGGAGAGGAGGGGGUGGGUCCUUGGUGGCCAGUGUCCCCAUAGCUCUCCAGCAGCUCUCCAUCCAUCACCUCCCUCCCAGCUGCACUUUAACCCAGAGGGGGAGUGGGGUCCUGGGGACAGGGCAGGCGGGCAGUGAGGAGUGCCCCUCGGGACCCCUUCCCGCCUGUGUCUGCUCCUCUGACCCCAGGGCGGCUGGUAGCUCCCCCAGCCCCCUGCCUGGGGGUGCCCCCGGCCCUCACGGCUGUUCCGACAAGAGCUUCUGGAGCUUGUAACCAGCAGAUUGUUUCCCUGACGGACCCUGAGUUUUCUCAUGAAUAAAUUCGUUCAAUGCU